GAAAUUAAGCAUAUCAAUAAGCGGAGGAAAAGAAACACAGGGAUGCCUCAGUAACGGCGAGUGAAGCGGCAACAGCUCAAAUUUGAAAUCUGGAGCCCCCGGCUUCCGAGUUGUAAUUUGAAGAGGAUGUUUCGGUUGUGACCUUGACCCAAGUUCCUUGGAACAGGACGUCGCAGAGGGUGAGAAUCCCGUGCGGUUACAGGUUUGCUUCCACGUGAAACUCCUUCGAAGAGUCGAGUUGUUUGGGAAUGCAGCUCAAAAUGGGUGGUAAAUUUCAUCUAAAGCUAAAUAUUGGCGAGAGACCGAUAGCGCACAAGUAGAGUGAUCGAAAGAUGAAAAGCACUUUGAAAAGAGAGUUAAACAGUACGUGAAAUUGUUGAAAGGGAAGCGCUUGCAAUCAGACUCGCUUUCGGUUGAUCAGGGUUCCUUUUGGUUCCUGCACUCUGCCGUUUGCGGGCCAGCAUCAGUUCGGGCGGUCGGACAAAGGCUCUGGGAACGUGGCUCCUUUCGAGGAGUGUUACAGCCCUCUGCGUAAUACGGCCAGCCCGGAUUGAGGUCCGCGCUUUCGCUAGGAUGCUGGCUUAAUGGUUGUAAGCGACCCGUCUUGAAACACGGACCAAGGAGUCUAACAUCUACGCGAGUGUUUGGGCGUCAAACCCAUGCGCGAAAUGAAAGUGAACGGAGGUGGGAGUCCUCGGACGCACCAUCGACCGAUCCUGAUGUCUUCGGAUGGAUUUGAGUAGGAGCGUAGCUGUUGGGACCCGAAAGAUGGUGAACUAUGCCUGAAUAGGGUGAAGCCAGAGGAAACUCUGGUGGAGGCUCGCAGCGGUUCUGACGUGCAAAUCGAUCGUCAAAUUUGGGUAUAGGGGCGAAAGACUAAUCGAACCAUCUAGUAGCUGGUUCCUGCCGAAGUCC
rnacentral:rRNA from 1 species